rnacentral:rRNA from 1 species
CGGACGGGUGAGUAAUGUCUGGGAAACUGCCUGAUGGAGGGGGAGUAACUACUGGAAACGGUAGCUAAUACCGCAUAACGUCGCAAGACCAAAGAGGGGGACCUUCGGGCCUCUUGCCAUCAGAUGUGCCCAGAUGGGAUUAGCUAGUAGGUGGGGUAACGGCUCACCUAGGUGACGAUCCCUAGCUGGUCUGAGAGGAUGACCAGCCACACUGGAACUGAGACACGGCCCAGACUCCUACGGGAGGCAGCAUG